GGAAAAGAACAAAAUGGCUGCUCCUUUUCCAUGAAAGUGACCACUUUAGCAACAAAUGGAUGUGGGGAGGACUCAAGCACUCUCCACAUUAGCAGUUCAUUGUUUGAGAGGCAUGGAGUCAGCAGAUGCAGUGGACUAAAACUGCUUCUAAGCCUGAGGAAGUCUUGACCCAACAGCAAGAGGCAGGCACAAGACCUGGCUUUGUCCUACAAAAAUUGUGGUCAAGAGACAUGGUGGCCUUUUCUUCCUUCUUCAUGCUUUUAAACAAAAC